AUACGGAGGAUGCGAGCGUUAUCCGGAUUUAUUGGGUUUAAAGGGUGCGCAGGCGGGCGAUUAAGUCAGCGGUGAAAGGCUCGGGCUCAACCGGAGCAGUGCCGUUGAUACUGGUUGUCUUGAAUGCGGUCAAGGCCGGCGGAAUGUGGCGUGUAGCGGUGAAAUGCAUAGAUAUGCCACAGAACACCGAUAGCGAAGGCAGCUGGCCGGGACUGCAUUGACGCUGAGGCACGAAAGCGUGGGGAUCGAACAGGAUUAGAUACCCUGGUAGUCCACACUGUAAACGAUGGACACUCGUUGUCGGCGACAGACAGUCGGCGGCCAAGCGAAAGUGAUAAGUGUCCCGCCUGGGGAGUACGGUCGCAAGGCUGAAACUCAAAUGAAUUGACGGGG
rnacentral:rRNA from 1 species